CCGCGGUAAUACGGAGGGAGCUAGCGUUGUUCGGAAUUACUGGGCGUAAAGCGCGCGUAGGCGGCCUAUCAAGUCAGGGGUGAAAGCCCGGGGCUCAACCCCGGAACUGCCUUUGAAACUAGUAGGCUAGAAUCUUGGAGAGGCGAGUGGAAUUCCGAGUGUAGAGGUGAAAUCCGUAGAUAUUCGGAAGAACACCAGUGGCGAAGGCGACUCGCUGGACAAGAAUUGACGCUGAGGUGCGAAAGCGUGG
rnacentral:rRNA from 1 species